rnacentral:rRNA from 1 species
GGACCAAGGAGUCUAGCAUGUGCGCGAGUCAUUGGGAUUUUUACUAAACCUAAAGGCGCAAUGAAAGUGAAGGUCCGCCUUGCGCGGACCGAGGGAGGAUGGACCGUUCCGAGGGACGGCCUCGCACUCCCGGGGCGUCUCGUUCUCAUCGCGAGAAGAGGCGCACCCAGAGCGUACACGCUGGGACCCGAAAGAUGGUGAACUAUGCCUGGUCAGGACGAAGUCAGGGGAAACCCUGAUGGAGGUCCGUAGCGAUUCUGACGUGCAAAUCGAUCGUCGGAACUGGGUAUAGGGGCGAAAGACUAAUCGAACCAUCUAGUAGCUGGUUCCCUCCGAAGUUUCCCUCAGGAUAGCUGGCGCUCGCUUCUCGCGAGUCUCAUUCGGUAAAGCGAAUGAUUAGAGGCAUUGGGGUCGAAACGGCCUCAACCUAUUCUCAAACUUUAAAUGGGUGAGAUCUCCGGCUUGCUUGAACUGUGAAGCCGCGAGAUAUCGGAUCAGAGUGCCAAGUGGGCCACUUUUGGUAAGCAGAACUGGCGCUGUGGGAUGAACCAAACGCCGAGUUAAAGCGCCUAAAUCGACGCUUAUGGGAUACCAUGAAAGGCGUUGGUAACUUAAGACAGCAGGACGGUGGCCAUGGAAGUCGGA